GGCAAGGUGGCCGAGCGGUCUAAGGCGCCAGACUAAGGAGACCACAUCAUUGGAUGAUGCAUAUCAAUCUGGUCCUUCGGGGCGCGAGUUCGAAUCUCGCCCUUGUCA
rnacentral:tRNA from 1 species